GUGGGGAAUAUUGGACAAUGGGCGAAAGCCUGAUCCAGCCAUGCCGCGUGUGUGAAGAAGGUCUUCGGAUUGUAAAGCACUUUAAGUUGGGAGGAAGGGCAGUAAGUUAAUACCUUGCUGUUUUGACGUUACCGACAGAAUAAGCACCGGCUAACUUCGUGCCAGCAGCCGCGGUAAUACGAAGGGUGCAAGCGUUAAUCGGAAUUACUGGGCGUACAGCGCGCGUAGGUGGUUUUGUAAGUUGGAGGUGAAAUCCCCGGGCUCAACCUGGGAACUGCCUCCGAAACUGCAUGACUAGAGUACGGUAGAGGGUAGUGGAAUUUCCUGUGUAGCGGUGAAAUGCGUAGAUAUAGGAAGGAACACCAGUGGCGAAGGCGACUACCUGGACUGAUACUGACACUGAGGUGCGAAAGCGUGGGGAGCAAACAGGAUUAGAAACCCGGGUAGUCC
rnacentral:rRNA from 1 species